rnacentral:tRNA from 1 species
GCCCCAAUAGCGCAACUGGAUAGAGUACUUGACUUCGAAUCAAGGGGUUACGGGUUCGAUUCCUGUUUGGGGCGCCA